CACAUAUAUUAUACACAAGGCACAUUUAAAACAUGCAGAUGAUGGUGAAAACAAUACACCUUAUGGCCAUUUGUCUGUCAUUACUGGUAAUCUCACAGGUUCCCAUCAAAUUUUGACGUCACAUUAGAAAAUAUCUGACACAACAAUUGAAAAGGGAUUGUUGUAUGACCUCAAUAGUUCAAGUGGCCCAGAUUCUUUGGUCAAGCGGUGCAAAUGAUCAAAUAGCGAUAAGGUGUAUACUAUUUUCCCAAAACAAUUUCAGUAUGUUGGAUAAUACAUCUUAUUUUUAAACUAAUUUGUAACCAUCAUAAUUUUUCCCUGUAAAAGCCUGCAGGAUAUAUAUGGCAACAUGUGGUUAUGACUAGAAAUAUCUAUCAUGUUACAUUCAGGAACACAUAAAUACACAGAAACUUUGUAGAUUUAAAAUUAAAGCAGUAACACAAACACUCCCUGCCAAAACAGUUUUAUAAGGUGGUACCUAACACUACAGGGAGAUAACUCUGUAAAGUCAGCUAAAUGUUUUAAUUAUGUUAACGUUGUGUUGUAAAGGGAAUAUUAAGCUUCUCAAUGAUCAAAAUAGGUGUUUGUCAAACUGCUAUAUUUUGUGAUUUUUGUGAUUUU
rnacentral:lncRNA from 1 species